AAUAUUGCGCAAUGGGGGAAACCCUGACGCAGCAACGCCGCGUGAAGGAUGAAGGUCUUCGGGUCGUAAACUUCUUUGAUCAGGGAUGAUAGUGACAGUACCUGAAAAACAAGCCACGGCUAACUACGUGCCAGCAGCCGCGGUAAUACGUAGGUGGCGAGCGUUGUCCGGAAUUACUGGGCGUAAAGGGUGCGUAGGCGGGUAUUUAAGUCAGAUGUGAAAUUCCGGGGCUCAACUUCGGAACUGCAUUUGAAACUGGAUGCCUAGAGUGCAGGAGAGGAAAGCGGAAUUCCUAGUGUAGCGGUGAAAUGCGUAGAUAUUAGGAAGAACACCAGUGGCGAAGGCGGCUUUCUGGACUGUAACUGACGCUGAGGCACGAAAGCGUGGGGAGCAAACAGG
rnacentral:rRNA from 1 species